GCUAUGCAAUGAAUUUGCUAUCUUUUUAAAAAGCGAUGGCUGAUUCAAGCAAGCAAUUGUGAAGGCUGUGUUUCUGCAUCUUUAUAGAAGGCGGCACUUCAAGAAAGUACACUGGUGCUACUUGUCUGCAAAGAGUAUACCCGAAAAUAUCAUUCCACAAGCCUACUGUACUGGCCCAGUGCAGUGCAGUCUCUUUAGUCUGAGAAACACUUGGCAGUCUGGACCCUUCUUACUGCUCCUGGUCCCAUGCAGCAAUGUAAUAAGCAGGUUGUGACAACCAAUGUUGAAAGUUGAAAAAAAGCAACACAAACAAACCAGUAUCGUUCGGUUCACGGAGUUCUUCCAAAUUUGCCUCCUUUUUGGAACUAUUCAUCGCUCGAACUUGGCUCUUUUUAUGUUGACUAAAAUCAGUUCUAGCUGUACAUACUGAAUUACUGCUGCAUGCGUGCAAGUCCCGUUUUUACGAUAUCAAAGGAUCAAGAUCUGUGACAGAAAUCAGAAUGAAACUCAAGUCUGGUAUCUUCCAUUGUCUGAGCUCUGUGAUAAUUAUAAGCCACGGACAGAAUACUGAUUACUAUGCCGACACCUUGAUUAUGGGAGACUCCCGAGGCACACAGGCCUUCUUUGUUUGAGACUCCUGAGAGCUGAAUUAAGAUUUAGUAUUGCUUCGGCUAAUUUGUCUAUUUUUAAAUUAUAGCAAAGAUCCUUUGAUGUAUAAUAUAUAGCGCCAAACAAAUCGAUUAUAAUUAUACAAGCCAUAAUAAUCUUUCAUUGUAAAACAUCCUAUAGUUAAUAUGGUCCAGUGACACAGGAGACACUCGCUAGUUUGUUGAAUUCAACAGUUAUAAUCCGAGCGCCCAGUACUUACACUUGCCAAUAAUGUAGCCAAAGUGACACAAUUAAUUGAUUUGCUUUUAUUGCCCUUUCGGCUGAAACGUGAUUUCGAAUGUGACAAAAGCGAAUCCUGCAAGCAAUACAUUGCUACUUAUUUUAUAUGAAUGGAUGCAUGCAUGGUACUAACCCCUCGCCGUUCUCCCUCCUGGUAUUUCCACACCUUGUAUGUACAACAGAGAAGUAUAGCACAGUCAAGUUAAUUGGUCGAACCACCAUCCUUAAUAAUGACUCAUGCUGGUGGCUCCAAAGCAAUGGAGGGCCUCCCUGAUGUCUCCUUUGCUCUUUGCUAAAUAGACUUGACACCAUUUGUUUGACGCUGUCUGUGAGGGACUUAAAUAAUUUGCAUGCAAGCUAGCUAAGUUUAAUAGAAGGUACAUUGUAUCUCUAUACAAUCAAACAAUUAAAAGGUGGAAGAGCACGACUUACGGCCGCCGGGGCACACUGGGGGUUGUAGGAGUUGCCAUUCUAUCACAGUUGUUCAAAUUGGCAACCAACCACACAAACAAGUCACCUAACUUUUACUGUAAAAUGUAAAAUACAUGGUCUUGUGCAUGCGCAUCGAGGCAUAUAAAAUGUCAAGAAUACAAUGUAUACAAGUGAUUUGGAGUGUUGGGUCAAGGUUUAAUUAAUUAAUGUUCUUCUCUGUGUUGCUGAUCGUUGUCGUUGGGUUGUUGUGGUGGUGGUCGUAUGUCUGUACAAUAAAAAAAAUCAACGAUAAUUGUCAACAUACAACUAUUGAAACAAUUGUUUUUUGUGAACUGUUUUUCACUGUAAUUGUAAUUAUGGUGUCAGUUUUGACUGUCACGCUAGAUCCUGCACAAGGACCUGCUUCACCCUCCCCUCCGACACCGCCAUAUCUAACAACACAUGUAAAAAAGAGCAGUCUGGCCAG